AUGUUUACCAUCAUCCAGGAACUAUUUUCAACAACAAUGCUGUUUGCGCUGCAGUUUCAUAUUAAGCAUUCCAAAAUAAAAUGUAGCGAUGCUGAAGAAACAAGAUUUACUUUGCCUAAUAAAAGAUUAAAGUUUUUUUUCCAACCCUGUAUGUAUUACGAUGAUGGGCUGUGCGGGGCGGCUUAUGGCUGUGCGGGGCGAGUAGGUGGCGGCUCAGGGCAUGGUAAUGCAGUGUCGGCGGUUGGCGGUGGCCCGCGGUGCAUCUUCUCCUUCCGCAGCGUCCGGGAAGACGAGGGGAUCCGGCAGUCUGCUGGGUACCCUGCUUAG
rnacentral:rRNA from 1 species